AUGUCGUGAUGAGGAUAUUUUCUCAAAAUUCUUUAAACCUCUCCCAUGCGUAAUACAAUGACUUUCCAUCAGUCUGGAAGAAGUUAUUGAUUUCUCCUCUCAACCU